CACUUUUGAGUGACAUCCAAGUUAAACAGAUUCAGUGUAUGAUAGAUAGCUUUGAUUUUUCGGACUUUGACAAACCAAUUUUUUAUAUUCUUGGCAGCAGCAACCAAAACUCGGUGCCGGUGGUCUUGUGUUUGUCCAAGGACCUGGAAUCAAGUAUUCAAGUUUCAACCUGCUUCAUGGCUAUUUCACCGCAGUACAAGCAACUUAACUACUAGAACGAAUGUUCUGAGUUUUGGCGAGACAUGAAAGCAUUGAAUUGAUCCUGAAACAUAACUCACAGUAUUCAAAUCUUCGAUACGGGUCAUUACACCCAUGGCCAUUUCACGUCGGUCGGCUGGAGCUUCGGGACAUGGGUACAAGGUAGCCCGGAAACCUUCGCAAAUUUUCUUAACGCGAGUCUUCAACUGAUCCCCUUGGAAGAAUAUGAUGAAAACAGACUUGAACACCUGGUCACCCUGUCAGACAAGAGCGAAAUUACAAUUAUAAAAAUUCAGAACAAAAAAAGCCACAACAACUAAUUUCUGAUAACUAAAAAGCGUUCAUAAUUACGACACUAUUUAGAUUCUGAAUUAAACGUGGGAAAUUAUUACUCACUGUUGAGGGAUCUUCGAGUGGAGUUUCGAUUUCAGCCUGGCGCAAGAAGACAUUUCCACGGCAAGCACGCCACAACAUACGCUCAAAUGCUGGAAUGCGUUCUCUCAGAAUAACUCCAGCGACGAAACUAAUCAUUAGGAAUAUUGAUUAUAUCAUUUGUAAAGACGUGAAAAUCGUACAUACAGGGCCUAGCUAAUUGGGUCACAAUUUGCGUAACAUUAUUAGUAGUUUUUAGUUACCCUAAUCGAUAGAAACAUUUUCCAAUCCAAUCCUGUCAGUUUCCGACUAUCUACUAAAACAUAUUUAAUACAGCAAGCUAUUGUCAGCAACGAUUGGUCUUUAUUUUCAAUGAACUUUCGUAAAAGUUUUGCAAAAUAUUUUUCGAGGCGUAUAGCUUUUAGAUUCCAGUCGUUUAAUCACAACACAUGUACUAAUAAAGAAAAUUAAAACAAUGUUCAUCGCCAUUUACGAAUAGUUUGUGCAGCACAGUUGAAAGGAAAAUUAUUAAAUAUGAAACAUAUAGAAAACAUUUUUCCGGUACAUCUGAAUUCAUAUUACACGACAGCAUAAUGGAAAUCUGAGCUACAUGUCUCAGAUCAAUGUACAAGAAAGUUAGCUAUAUCAUGUCGAAAUAUAAUUGAUUAAUUUCAACAUCGAUCUUGAAGGAAUGAAAUACUUAUGGAGACCAUGUCGGAUUGUGUAUAACAGCAGGACGAUGAUUCUUGCAGCCAUGGUCGCUCUUACAUACCUUGAAGGAAUCUUGUUUAGUUUUGUUUUUUCUUUGUUUCUUUAAUACGAAAAAAAAAAUUCCAAAAGACAACAA